rnacentral:rRNA from 1 species
CUACGGGUGGCAGCAGUGGGGAAUAUUGGACAAUGGGCGAAAGCCUGAUCCAGCCAUGCCGCGUGUGUGAAGAAGGCCUUCGGGUUGUAAAGCACUUUCAGUGGGGAAGAAAGCCUUGGGGCUAAUACCCUCGAGGAAGGACAUCACCCACAGAAGAAGCACCGGCUAACUCCGUGCCAGCAGCCGCGGUAAUACGGAGGGUGCGAGCGUUAAUCGGAAUUACUGGGCGUAAAGCGCGCGUAGGCGGUCUGAUAAGCCGGUUGUGAAAGCCCCGGGCUCAACCUGGGAACGGCAUCCGGAACUGUCAGGCUAGAGUGCAGGAGAGGAAGGUAGAAUUCCCGGUGUAGCGGUGAAAUGCGUAGAGAUCGAGAGGAAUACCAGUGGCGAAGGCGGCCUUCUGGACUGACACUGACGCUGAGGUGCGAAAGCGUGGGUAGCAAACAGGAUUAGAUACCCCAGUAGUC